UAGGAUAUGGUGCUACUCGGUGA
rnacentral:miRNA from 1 species